CAGGCAGUGAAGCUUUGUGUUUCUGAAGCUGUAAGGAAGGAGUUGAUUCAGCAGUAUGCACAGGCUGUGCUGAUUUCGCUUUUCUAGUGGCUGUCAGCCAUGAGUAUUACUCAUGCCAUACCUCCAGGAUCAUUUGAAUCUGGCAUUUGGUACUUCUUGAGAGCUGAGUUUGACUGUAUGCCCAAGACUACCCAGGCAGCAUGGGUGAAAGUGGAAAUCUGGACACAGAGAAGGAAACAUGAAGUGGACAUUUGA
rnacentral:lncRNA from 1 species